ensembl:lncRNA
UCUGAUCAGUGUGAAAGUCAGAAAAUACAGAAUAUUUCUGGUUCUCUUGCUUCUAGUUUAUAGCUGCUGCUCAUUUGAAGUAACGUGCCAUGCCAUUCUGUAUUACAGAAUCCAGAGGUGCUGAUUCAGUGUCAUGUCCAAGUACAUUUCCUCAGGAAGCUGAUGAGGUUAAACCGCAGAAUGACUGUAGAAAGAAACAAGAAAAUACAGCAAACAUGCAGAGAAGCAGCACCAAGACCAUGCGGCUCCUUGAGAAAUUGAGUCCUGUGCUUCCAGAUUUUCUGGUCUUUAUCUGCAGGACUGCCAUUUGUGCAAGCAAGAGGGACUCCUGCCAUGAACUCUUUAAAGCACCUGGGCUCCACAGGUCACAAACUCAUGAGAAACAUCAAUGUGCUAAAGAACUCAAGGGCACCUUUGUCAUUUGGCAGCCAGCACUAAACACUGGCACAGCAGGACCCCACAUUUUAAACAUCCAUUCUUGUGACUAACACAGUUCAGUCCUAAGGGAAAUGUUUCUCCACAUCAUAUGCCUUAUGUCCUUGAAACCAGAAACAGCUUGCCCACUGGGGCUGUGCCCCUUUGAUGGCAGAAAUUGGUGGUGUUUAGAGUGCAGGGCAGGCUUGGGCAAGUGGAGCCCUUGGGGAAGUGAAAAGACUAACUUGUCAAAUGCUUCUCUCAACCACAUGAGUACAAUUGGUUUUUGCAGGAUAAAAUGUACUUUAGGUUAGUGCAGGAUGUCUACUGGAUUUUUUUUCUCUUUGAAUUCUCCACUUUGUGACUCCAGAGGAAUUCACACAUGGUAUAUUAUUUAGAAUAGUG